CCUUAGUAACGGCGAGUGAAGCGGUAAAAGCUCAAAUUUGAAAUCUGGUACUUUCAGUGCCCGAGUUGUAAUUUGUAGAAUUUGUCUUUGAUUAGGUCCUUGUCUAUGUUCCUUGGAACAGGACGUCAUAGAGGGUGAGAAUCCCGUUUGGCGAGGAUACCUUUUCUCUGUAAGACUUUUUCGAAGAGUCGAGUUGUUUGGGAAUGCAGCUCAAAGUGGGUGGUAAAUUCCAUCUAAAGCUAAAUAUUGGCGAGAGACCGAUAGCGAACAAGUACAGUGAUGGAAAGAUGAAAAGAACUUUGAAAAGAGAGUGAAAAAGUACGUGAAAUUGUUGAAAGGGAAGGGCAUUUGAUCAGACAUGGUGUUUUUUGCAUGCACUCGCCUCUCGUGGGCUUGGGCCUCUCAAAAAUUUCACUGGGCCAACAUCAAUUCUGGCAGCAGGAUAAAUCAUUAAGAAUGUAGCUACUUCGGUAGUGUUAUAGCUUUUUGGAAUACUGUUAGCCGGGAUUGAGGACUGCGCUUCGGCAAGGAUGUUGGCAUAAUGGUUAAAUGCCGCCCGUCUUGAAACACGGACC
rnacentral:rRNA from 1 species